UCCGGGGGGGGCAAGCGUUGUUCGGAAUUACUGGGCGUAAAGGGCUCGUAGGGGGCCAACUAAGUCAGACGUGAAAUCUCUCAGCUUAACUGGGGAACUGCGUCUGAUACUGGAUGGCUUGAGUUUGGGAGAGGGAUGCGGAAUUCCAGGUGUAGCGGUGAAAUGCGUAGAUAUCUGGAGGAACACCGGUGGCGAAGGCGGCAUCCUGGACCAACACUGACACUGAGGAGCGAAAGCCAGGGGAGCAAACGGG
rnacentral:rRNA from 1 species